GAUUGGUGAUGAUCUUCGCAAAGCAUUCAUUUCUGAAUGUUCAUCAGAUAUUAACCGGUUUGAUAAAGCAAUCAAGAAAAUACCAAUUCACAAUUUUUCAAGUCAGAUAAAAAAAAAAAAACCGUGAAAGUUGGAGGAAAAAAUCAAGAAAUCAAAAUACAGCGGGAUUUAUUUGGACGCAUGUUGGGGUUAUCAAUGGACUAUAAGAUCGAUGUCCUCAGAAUUUUAUCAUAUCCGAUAACUCCUGUGCCUCUUUCUCUAUGCCAUUUGGACGGAGGAAUUCACAAAACAGAUAAGUCAGCGCUUGCUAAAUCUCUUGAGGCAAAAAUUGACCAUGAUCCACCAAGUCACGCUGAUGUAUAUUUGAUUGACGGUUUCUUUAUUCUACAUGCUAUGAAAGAAGUACCCAGGACUUUUGCAUUUGGAAAAAUGCUCAUGCGAAUGAGCCCACAUCACUGAAUCCCCUUGAAUACGGCUGGAUGGAGAUGGAAAACCGUUACGUAUUUAAGUGGUUCGAAGGAGACCAACUUCCUUGCUUUGUCAGCGACUUGAUUCUAAAUCCUGAAGAAUCUGACUUGCAGUAUGAAGAUGACUUGUCACUUUCUGAAGACGAUUCCGAAGAUGAAAAUUAAUUAUAAAAUAUUUCAUGAUUAUUUCAUUGUUAUAAAUUAUUUACAAAAAUAAAUAUAUUCUGAUAUG